rnacentral:rRNA from 1 species
CCUACGGGAGGCAGCAGUGGGGAAUAUUGGGCAAUGGAGGAAACUCUGACCCAGCGACGCCGCGUGCGGGAUGAAGGCCUUCGGGUUGUAAACCGCUUUCAGUAGGGAAGAAGCGAAAGUGACGGUACCUACAAAAGAAGCACCGGCUAACUAUGUGCCAGCAGCCGCGGUAAUACAUAGGGUGCAAGCGUUGUCCGGAAUUAUUGGGCGUAAAGAGCUCGUAGGUCGUUUGUUACGUCGGAUGUGAAAACCUGAGGCUCAACCUCAGGCCUGCAUUCGAUACGGGCAAACUAGAGUUUGGUAGGGGAGACUGGAAUUCCUGGUGUAGCGGUGGAAUGCGCAGAUAUCAGGAGGAACACCAAUGGCGAAGGCAGGUCUCUGGGCCAAUACUGACACUGAGGAGCGAAAGUCUGGGGAGCGAACAGGAUUAGAUACCCUGGUAGUCCAGACCGUAAACGGUGGGCACUAGUUGUGGGAACCUUCCACGGUUUCUGCGACGCAGCUAACGCAUUAAGUGCCCCGCCUGGGGAGUACGAUCGCAAGAUUAAAACUUAAAGAUAGUAGCGNGNGAGNGCGACGACGACGACGAGGAGGAG